AGGACAUGCAGAUCAGAAAGGAAGAAAUGAAAUCCCUGAUUUCCAGAUGACAUGAUUUUCUACAAAGAAAAACAACCCUCCUAGAACUACUGGGCAGACACCCUCUGGAAUGUAUCACCAACAUAUAUUUGUGAAGCUUAUUUGUUUUGCAUUCAUAAGGGAACUUCCAUUAACUGCUAAGUAAAAUUACUCCGGUUGGUUCAGAAGUACCCAGAGUGGCUGUGAAUGGUUCUUAUGUAAAUGAAAAAAGAAAACAAUACAAAGGGCAAGGUGUGCACCAUACCGUCCUGGUGACCAAAUGAAUUAAAGGAGAAUUAAAGGAGAACUUGGAGAGGAAGAAUGAUAUGUCUGUCUGUAGACAUCGACAACCAAUCACAGCCCAGCCCCCUGCAUUCUGGUUGCCACUUCAGGGUCCUUCUCAACACAGGCCGCCACUCCAUUGGCAUUCAGGGUGGCACUGUUAUUUACCAUCCUGCCUUGAAAGCAUCUCUGCUGGAGUCAUCUGCCAUUGAAGCUGGGCUGGACCACUUCCCCAGGAUGACAAGGGGACAGAUUCCUCUGGCCAGACGGAGACCCUUCUGUAGCUGAUGCACUUUAUGGAAGUGUCCCCGGAACAGAGGUCAAGAGCAGUUGCCCAUGGCCCAGGCCCCUGUCUCCUCUUCUGCUUCUCUCGCCCUCUCCACUGUCUGCCUUGUCACACUCCUACUAACUCAAGACUGCAUUUUGUGCGUGUUGCCCCAGAUCCCAAUUAUUGCUCAGUGGAACUUUAGAGUUACUUAAUCCUUUUACACUAUUCACUACCUUGUGCCUUCUUUUCAGGGUGAACCGGGGAAGUGUUAGAGCUAAAGCACAAUUUAAAAAUAUGAGUCGGAAGCCUUCAAAAUACCGUCUCCUUCAAAAUACACUAACUGUUUUGUUCAUUUUAAUGGGAAUUUCCUUUCCAUUGGUGAUUAUAGGAAGUGGGGAAGAGUGCUGAGUGUUUAAAGCAUUAUGGUGCAAGAUUAAUGCAUUCAUUUUAUCUUUUGAGUUUUUGUAGUUCUUACCACGGUGAUCUUGGAAGGAGGACAGCACUGGCAUUGAACUAGAGUUGCCCCAUGUUAAUA